rnacentral:rRNA from 1 species
GCUUGUCUCAAAGAUUAAGCCAUGCAUGUCUCAGCAUAAGCUUCAACACGGUGAAACUGCAAAUGGCUCAUUAAAGCAGUUACAAUUUAUUUGAUGGUCACUGUUACAUGGAUAACUGUGGUAAUUCUAGAGCUAAUACAUGCGAAAAGUCCUGACUUCUUCGUGAGGGAGGGAUGUAUUUAUUAGAUACAAUCAAACGCACCAACAUAAAACCUUGGUGAUUCAUAAUAACUGUUCGGAUCGUAUGGCUUUUUGCCGACGACAGAUCAUUCAAAUUUCUGCCCUAUCAGCUUUCGACGGUACUGUAGUGGACUACCGUGGCAUUAACGGGUGACGGAGAAUUAGGGUUCGAUUCCGGAGAGGGAGCCUGAGAAAUGGCUACCACAUCCAAGGAAGGCAGCAGG